rnacentral:rRNA from 1 species
GACGAACGCUGGCGGCGUGCCUAAUACAUGCAAGUCGAACGAGAGCGACCGGUGCUUGCACUGGCCAAUCUAGUGGCGAACGGGUGAGUAACACGUGGGUAACCUGCCCAUCAGAGGGGGAUAACAUCCGGAAACGGAUGCUAAAACCGCAUAGGUCUUCGAACCGCAUGGUUUGAAGAGGAAAAGAGGCGCAAGCUUCUGCUGAUGGAUGGACCCGCGGUGCAUUAGCUAGUUGGUGAGGUAACGGCUCACCAAGGCCGUGAUGCAUAGCCGACCUGAGAGGGGGAUCGGCCACAUUGGGACUGAGACACGGCCCAAACUCCUACGGGAGGCAGCAGUAGGGAAUCUUCCGCAAUGGACGCAAGUCUGACGGAGCAACGCCGCGUGAGUGAAGAAGGUUUUCGGAUCGUAAAACUCUGUUGUUAGAGAAGAACAAGUGCUAGAGUAACUGUUAGCGCCUUGACGGUAUCUAACCAGAAAGCCACGGCUAACUACGUG